rnacentral:rRNA from 1 species
AGAAUCAACGCUGGCGACGUGCCUCAGACAUGCAAGUCGAACGAUUAAAGCUCUCUUCGGAGAGUGUAUAGAGUGGCGCACGGGUGAGUAACACGUAAGUAAUCUACCUUCGAGUGGGGAAUAACAGUCGGAAACGACUGCUAAUACCGCAUAAUGCAGCGGCAUCGCAAGAUGACAGUUGUUAAAGGAUUUAUUCGCUUGAAGAGAGCUUGCGGCAGAUUAGCUAGUUGGUAAGGUAAUGGCUUACCAAGGCUACGAUCUGUAACCGGUCUAAGAGGACGGUCGGUCACACUGACACUGAAUAACGGGUCAGACUCCUACGGGGAGGCAGCAGUCGGGUAAUUUGGGACAAGUGGGCGAAAGCCUGACCAGCAACGCGCGUAGAAGGA